AAGUGGGUAGAAUCGUUCGACUGUCCGAUACAUAACCGUGGAACUGUGCGUGUAGAAAGCUCGAAGGGAAAUAGAGAAAGGGUGGGAAAAAAAAAAAGGGUACAAUGUUAACGAUCGUCGAGUCCUCUCAUUAUCCUUCCGUUCCUCGCUGCGCUCGCUGCAUCCUCCCGCGCUUCUUCUCCGUCGCGUUUCUAUGCUUGCGCUUGGUCGCGGUCAAGGACGCGGGAGCGAAAGACAUCCUCGGUGUAUUUUAUUUGACACACUCAAAAAGAAAUUUGACAAUGAGGACGAGAGAGAUCGAAGUCGCGCUAUUGCCUUCGUUUUUUUCUCUACGAUCAUCGGAUACAGACGCCGCGAGAGUAGGAAAUUUUAUUCCUAAUCACUUUGAGAUAUAUAAAGUCCUCUAAUCACUUGACUCGCGAGGAUAUUGGAAGAAUAAGAUGAGAAAACAGUGAAAAAAAGGAGGGACGGAAGGAGGAGGAGACGAGACGGGGCACGUGUUAGGUCUUACGUGGCUCUCGCACAGUGACCGGUCGCGGGUCCUGUACAUACAUAUUUGUCGAUUUAUAUGUAUAUGUACGCGAGGGCGCUUGUGUGGACCACGUGGUGUCCGCGUGCGUAAAAAGGGGGACAAGAUAAAAAAGGAUAGCUCGUGGGAAGAGGAGAUGCAGAGAGCGAGAUGCGAAAGGAAGAGAGAGAGAGAGAAAUGACUUUCCUUAUAUUAUGACAUUUGACGAUGCGUCGAAUGCCUCCGCCGGGCACUUUGGCCAAUUUUUUUUUCUUUUUUUUUCUUUUUUUUCUUUUUUUUUUUUACUUAACGUACAUCCAUGACCGGAUUAGUCACGACGAUAUCGGGCUGUGAGACUGAACUACUCGUCACAAACACACAAGCAUACACACACACACAUACACGUAUACGUACACUUAGAAGAACGAUCAAUAAAAUGCGCGGUGUUAAAUGGCGGGCUGUCGUAAAAGAACAUAUUUCGGACUUCUCGAGACGCGCUUACGUGAGAUAAGACUCGUCGCGGGGAACACGUGGAUCACGUGACAGCACCUCGCGCUUCCUGGUCGCGAACGAAAUGUGAAAGAAAG